UAAUACGAGGGGUCCUAGCGUUGUUCGGAAUCAUUGGGCGUAAAGAGCUCGUAGGUGGCUUAGUAAGUCAGGUGUGAAAGCCCAAGGCUCAACCUUGGAAGUGCACUUGAAACUGCAUAGCUUGAGUACGGUAGAGGUAAGUGGAAUUCCUGGUGUAGUGGUGAAAUACGUAGAUAUCAGGAGGAACAUCGGUGGCGAAGGCGGCUUACUGGACCAGUACUGACACUGAGGAGCGAAAGCAUGGGGAUCAAACAGG
rnacentral:rRNA from 1 species